AAAAGAAAUAAACAUAUUUACAUAUACUAAUUUA
rnacentral:sRNA from 1 species